GCGAAGGUGGUGGAAUGGCAGACACGCUACUUUGAGGGGGUAGUGGGCGUUAGCCCGUGUGGGUUCAAGUCCCAUCCUUCGCA
rnacentral:tRNA from 1 species